CUUAUUCGGGUUGAACCCGUAGUGAGCCGGGUUGGCUCGUCAAUCCAUCUGAUUUUGUUUUUUGUGCUUAUUUUUUUAUUAUAUUUGAAGUUUAAGAUAUUUUGGAUUGUAUUAUAUUUUUUUUUUAUUUUGAAUUGUCUUUAAAAUUCAACAUCAUUUUAGAUUAAAAUUUAUUUAGAUUGGAAUUAGAAUUUUAUUUUUUUUGGAAUUGAAAACAAAACUUAUGAUUAAGUGAGUCAGUGAGUCAACCUGUUUAAGCCACCAACCCGUGGUGAGCCAGGCCGGGUUCAAAUUUUUUUGACUCGUUAAUAAGUGAGCUAAGUUAGGUUAGUUCACUAAGUGACCAACCUAUAGUGGGCCGGG
rnacentral:lncRNA from 1 species